rnacentral:rRNA from 1 species
AAUAAACGCUGGCGGCGUGCUUAACACAUGCAAGUCGAGCGAGAAAGGUCUUCGGACUGAGUACAGCGGCGAACGGGUGAGUAACGCGUGGGAAUCUGCCCUUCAGUGAGGAAUACCCUCGAGAAAUCGAGAUUAAUACCGCAUACGUCUAGAAAUAGAGAAAGAUGGCCUCUUUGCUGUCGCUGAAUGAUGAGCCCGCGUACUAUUAGCUAGUUGGUGGGGUAAUGGCCUACCAAGGCGAUGAUGGUUAGCCGGCCUGAGAGGGUGUACGGCCACACUGGAACUUAGACACGGUCCAGACUCCUACGGGAGGCAGCAGUGAGGAAUAUUGCGCAAUGGGCGAAAGCCUGACGCAGCGACGCCGCGUGGAGGAUGAAGGUCUUUGGAUUGUAAACUUCUGUUAAGUGGGAAGAAAGGCAAAGUUUUAAUACAACUUUGAUAUGACGGUACCAUUAGAGAAAGCACCGGCUAAACUCGUGCCAGCAGC